rnacentral:lncRNA from 1 species
AAAUAUAUAAAUUUAUGAUAAUUAAGACUGAGCUAACAGAUGAGAAUCCUAGUCAUUGGCCAAGCAGCUUUGUACCUAAUAUGUCUCUGUAUUAUUUUGCCCAUCCAUGCGGCGGGCAGAACUCGGGCGGCUGGCGUAGAGCACACACUUGGUGAUAUAGGACAAGAUCUUGGCUUACUCCAGCACUGCAGUGUCUAUCCAUAGCUGAGAAAAAC